rnacentral:rRNA from 1 species
CAUUAGCUUGUUGGUAGGGUAAUGGCCUACCAAGGCGACGAUGGUUAGCUGGUCUGAGAGGAUGAUCAGCCACACUGGCACUGAGACACGGGCCAGACUCCUACGGGAGGCAGCAGUGAGGAAUAUUGCACAAUGGGCGGAAGCCUGAUGCAGCAACGCCGCGUGAGGGACGAAGGCCUUCGGGUCGUAAACCUCUUUUCUGGGGGACGAGUAAGGACGGUACCUCAGGAAUAAGUCUCGGCUAACUACGUGCCAGCAGCCGCGGUAAAACGUAGGAGGCGAGCGUUAUCCGGAUUUACUGGGCGUAAAGCGUACGCAGGUGGCUUCGUGAGUCGGACAUGAAAGCUCCCGGCUUAACUGGGAGAGGUUGUUCGAUACUGCGGGGCUUGAGGUUGGGAGAGGGACGUGGAAUUCCCGGUGUAGUGGUGGAAUGCGUAGAUAUCGGGAGGAACACCAGUGGCGCAAGCGGCGUCCUGGCCCACACCUGACGCUGAGGUACGAAAGCGUGGGUAGCAAACAGGAUUAGAUACCCUGGUAGUCCACGCUGUAAACGAUGUCAACUGGGUGUCGGUAGUUUUACACUAUCGGUGCCGAAGCCAACGCG